GUUUUCAACAGACCGAGGCUGCCAUUUUGUUUCCCUCUGACCGAAGGAAGUGGUUAGUGACGGGAGGAGACGUUUGCAUGUUAUCGCCAUCUACAGGACUCAGUGAGAUGCUGGACUGGUGUCAGCCUGAUGAGAAAUGAUCCUGCUGAGGUGGUCAACCACCACUUUACAGCCAGCGCCACUCUGCCAAGAACAUGGCAUGAUGGGAAAUGGUGCAGUGGUCCCGCGUGUCUCCUCUGUGACAUUGGAAAAGCCAGGCCAGCUGUUUUCCUUUGAACCGGAGCUUCUUGUGACACCUGAGACCGUGGGCAGCAUCUGUUCCUGACAGAGAGCUGAAAGACAUCCUCAAACAAAGCACCUCCAGUGGGAGAGAAAAAGGCCGUGA